rnacentral:rRNA from 1 species
GAUGAACGCUGGCGGCGUGCCUAAUACAUGCGAGUCGAGCGAACAGACGAGGAGCUUGCUCCUCUGACGUUAGCGGCGGACGGGUGAGUAACACGUGGAUAACCUACCUAUAAGACUGGGAUAACUUCGGGAAACCGAAGCUAAUACCGGAUAAUAUAUUGAACCGCAUGGUUCAAUAGUGAAAGACGGUUUUGCUGUCACUUAUAGAUGGAUCCGCGCCGCAUUAGCUAGUUGGUAAGGUAACGGCUUACCAAGGCAACGAUGCGUAGCCGACCUGAGAGGGUGAUCGGCCACACUGGAACUGAGACACGGUCCAGACUCCUACGGGAGGCAGCAGUAGGGAAUCUUCCGCAAUGGGCGAAAGCUUGACGGAGCAACGCCGCGUGAGUGAUGAAGGUCUUCGGAUCGUAAAACUCUGUUAUUAGGGAAGAACAAAUGUGUAAGUAACUAUGCACGUCUUGACGGUACCUAAUCAGAAAGCCACGGCUAACUACGUG